rnacentral:rRNA from 1 species
GUACACGCUGUGACUAGCAUAUCAAUAAGCGGAGGAAAAGAAACUAACAAGGAUUCCCCUAGUAACGGCGAGUGAAGCGGGAAGAGCUCAAAUUUGAAAUCUUAAAGGGUUUCCCUUUACGAAUUGUAGUUUAAAGAAGUGUUUUCUGUUGAGGUUUUGGUAAAAGUUCUUUGGAAUAGGACAUCAUAGAGGGUGAGAAUCCCGUAUUUGACCUUUACUUUCAACUUUGUGAUACACUUUCAAAGAGUCGGAUUGUUUGGGAAUGCAGUCCAAAAUGGGUGGUAAAUUUCAUCUAAAGCUAAAUAUUGGCGAGAGACCGAUAGCGAACAAGUACCGUGAGGGAAAGAUGAAAAGAACUUUGAAAAGAGAGUUAAACAGUACGUGAAAUUGUCAAAAGGGAAGCGUUUGACACCAGUGUUGUUUUUCUGAAAAUCAAUUAAAGAACUGUUUAUGCUAAGUUGUUUAGACUUUAUCAGCUAACUGUUUAGUUUUGAGCUGUUCUUUAAUGCACUUUUCAGUUAACAAGUCAACAUCAAUUUCUUUUGCUGUAAAAAAGCUUGAGGAAGGUGGCUUGAGAUUCGUCUUAAGUGUUUAUAGCCUCUUGCCUAUGCAGUCGGAGAGAUUGAGGUCUGCAGCGUAGAUCCUUCGGGGCUAAAUGCAUUUGUGCUAAGUUAUAGCAUUUUAUAGACAACUUGUUGACUAUGAUUUGUCUUGUAGCUUACUCGCUUAUGUUAUUUUACCUACGCUUAGGAUGUUGACUGAUAUGUAGUCGUA